rnacentral:rRNA from 1 species
GACGAACGCUGGCGGCGUGCUUAACACAUGCAAGUCGAACGGAAAGGCCCUGCUUUUGUGGGGUGCUCGAGUGGCGAACGGGUGAGUAACACGUGAGUAACCUGCCCUUGACUUUGGGAUAACUUCAGGAAACUGGGGCUAAUACCGGAUAGGAGCUCCUGCUGCAUGGUGGGGGUUGGAAAGUUUCGGCGGUUGGGGAUGGACUCGCGGCUUAUCAGCUAGUUGGUGGGGUAGUGGCUUACAAAGGCUUUGACGGGUAGCCGGCCUGAGAGGGUGACCGGCCACAUUGGGACUGAGAUACGGCCCAGACUCCUACGGGAGGCAGCAGUGGGGAAUAUUGCACAAUGGGCGGAAGCCUGAUGCAGCAACGCCGCGUGCGGGAUGACGGCCUUCGGGUUGUAAACCGCUUUCGCCUGUGACGAAGCGUGAGUGACGGUAAUGGGUAAAGAAGCACCGGCUAACUACGUG